UUACGGAAGGCAGCAGUGGGGAAUUUUGGACAAUGGGCGCAAGCCUGAUCCAGCCAUGCCGCGUGAGUGAAGAAGGCCUUCGGGUUGUAAAGCUCUUUCGGCCGGGACGAAAUCGCACGGGUUAAUACCGCGUGUGGAUGACGGUACCGGAAUAAGAAGCACCGGCUAACUACGUGCCAGCAGCCGCGGUAAUACGUAGGGUGCGAGCGUUAAUCGGAAUUACUGGGCGUAAAGCGUGCGCAGGCGGUUUUGUAAGCCAGAUGUGUAAUCCCCGGGCUUAACCUGGGAACUGCAUUUGGGACUGCAAGGCUAGAGUACGGCAGAGGGGGGUAGAAUUCCUGGUGUAGCAGUGAAAUGCGUAGAUAUCAGGAGGAAUACCGAUGGCGAAGGCAGCCCCCUGAGUCGAUACUGACGCUCAUGCACGAAAGCGUGGGGAGCAAACAGGAUUAGAUACCCUGGUAGUCGC
rnacentral:rRNA from 1 species